UACAGAGGCCCCAAGCGUUGUUCGGAUUUAUUGGGCGUAAAGGGUGCGUAGGCGGCGGAGUAAGUUGGGUGUGAAAUCCCGGGGCUCAACCUCGGAAUUGCAUUCAAUACUGCUUCGCUCGAGUACUGGAGAGGAGACUGGAAUUUACGGUGUAGCAGUGAAAUGCGUAGAUAUCGUAAGGAAGGCCGGUGGCGAAAGCGAGUCUCUGGACAGUUACUGACGCUGAUGCACGAAGGCCAGGGGAGCAAACGGG
rnacentral:rRNA from 1 species